GGCCAGAUAGACUAGUGGUAUAAGGCAGCACACUUAAAGCUGUGUCUCAGCUCAACACUGAGGUCCCAAGUUUGAAUCUGGGUCUGGUCA
rnacentral:tRNA from 1 species